rnacentral:rRNA from 1 species
GAAUCUGCCCUAUCAAAUGGCACAUCCCGGCGAAAGAAGAUUAAUGCCUUAUGAAGGAGAAGACGCCAUCUGAUUUUCAUUAAAGCUCCGGCGUUAUAGGAUGGGGAUGCGUCCGAUUAUGUAGACGGAGGGGUAACGGCCCUCUGUGCUGACGAUCGGUAGGGGUUCGAGAGGAAGGUCCCCCCACAGUGGAACUGAGACACGGUCCAGACUCCUACGGGAGGCAGCAGUGAGGAAUUUGGUCAAUGGGCGAUAGCCUGAACCAACCAAGUAGCGUGAGGGAAGACGGCCCUAUGGGUUGUAAACCUAUUUAGUCCGGGAAUAAAGUGGGCGACGUGUCGCUUAUUGCAUGUACCGGAAGAAUAAGGACCGGCUAAAUCCGUGCCAGCAGCCGCGGUAAUACGGAAGGUCCUGGCGUUAUCCGGAUUUAUUGGGUAUAAAGGGAGCGCAGGCGGUAUGAUAAGCGAGCAAUGAAAGACGGUGGCUCAACCUUCGAGGUGCUUUCCGAACUGUCGGACUUGCAUAUAUGCAAGGCAGGCGGAAUUCGUGGUGUAGCGGUGAAAUGCUUAGAUAUCAGGAAGAACCCCGAUUGCGAAGGCAGCUUGCCAGUGCGCCACUGACGCUAAAGCUCGAAAGUGCGGGUAUCAAACAGGAUUAGAUACCCUGGUAGUCCGCACGGUAAACGAUGGAUGCUCGCUGUUCGUUGCGUUUAUAGUGAUGAGCGGCCAAGCGAACGCUUUAAGCAUCCCACCUGGGGAGUACGCCGGCAACGGAAAACUAAAAGAAAUUGGGGGGGGCCCGCACAAGCGGAGGCACAUUUGGAUUUAUUAGAAAAGCGAGAGGAACCUCCCCCGG